rnacentral:rRNA from 1 species
UACAGAGGUCCCAAGCGUUGUUCGGAUUCACUGGGCGUAAAGGGUGCGUAGGCGGUUGGGUAAGUCUGUCGUGAAAUCUCCGAGCCUAACUCGGAAACUGCGUCGGAUACUAUUCAACUCGAGGAAUGGAGGGGAGACUGGAAUUCUCGGUGUAGCAGUGAAAUGCGUAGAUAUCGAGAGGAACACCAGUGGCGAAGGCGAGUCUCUGGACAGUUCCUGACGCUGAGGCACGAAGGCCAGGGGAGCAAACGGG